rnacentral:rRNA from 1 species
CGCAUCUGUGCAUGCAGCAUAUCAAUAAGCGAGGAAAAGAAACUAACAAGGAUUCCCCUAGUAACGGCGAGUGAAGCGGGAAGAGCUCAAAUUUGAAAUCUUAAAGGGUUUCCCUUUACGAAUUGUAGUUUAAAGAAGUGUUUUCUGUUGAGGUUUUGGUAAAAGUUCUUUGGAAUAGGACAUCAUAGAGGGUGAGAAUCCCGUAUUUGACCUUUACUUUCAACUUUGUGAUACACUUUCAAAGAGGUCGGAUUGUUUGGGAAUGCAGUCCAAAAUGGGUGGUAAAUUUCAUCUAAAGCUAAAUAUUGGCGAGAGACCGAUAGCGAACAAGUACCGUGAGGGAAAGAUGAAAAGAACUUUGAAAAGAGAGUUAAACAGUACGUGAAAUUGUCAAAAGGGAAGCGUUUGACACCAGUGUUGUUUUUCUGAAAAUCAAUUAAAGAACUGUUUAUGCUAAGCUGUUUAGACUUUAUCAGCUAUCUGUUUAGUUUUGAGCUUUUCUUUAAUGCACUUUUCAGUUAACAAGUCAACAUCAAUUUCUUUUGCUGUAAAAAAGCUUGAGGAAGGUGGCUUGAGAUUCGUCUUAAGUGUUUAUAGCCUCUUGCCUAUGCAGUCGGAGAGAUUGAGGUCUGCAGCGUAGAUCCUUCGGGGCUAAAUGCAUUUGUGCUGAGUUAUAGCAUUUUAUAGACAACUUGUUGACUAUGAUUUGUCUUGUAGCUUACUCGCUUAUGUUAUUUUACCUACGCUUAGGAUGUUGAGUCGUAGAGCACGCAG